AAAGAAGUGCGGCUUGUUGAUUUUCUUUCGAGAAGGUAGGAAAGUCCGGACACCAAAGAGCAACAUAGCGGAUAACAUCCGUCACGCGUGAGCGUAGGACAAGUGCAACAGAAAGCAAGUACAGUUCGGCUGUAGUGAAACCAGGUAAACUCUAUGUGGUGCAAUGCUAAGUAUAUCGCCAGUUAAGGUCGGCUCGGUCGUUGGCGAGGGGUAAGCAGCUAAAGUUGCAGAGCAAUUUGCAAAUCAGAUAAAUAACAAGCGCCCUCCUAGGAGGGCACAGAAUCCGGCUUAUAGCACUUCUUUUAUU
rnacentral:RNase_P_RNA from 1 species